rnacentral:lncRNA from 1 species
CCUCCCCGCGGCUGCUAUUUGACUUCGCAGGCUUCCAGCUGCGCGGCGGAGCGACGUCACCCUGUGCCAGUGGUGGCUCGCGGCGGCGCCCCGCCCUCCCGAGGUUAGCUCCCCAGCCAAAGAGGGGGCGCGCUUGCGCGGUGGGUGGGGCCGCGAGACUUGGUACCUAGCCAGCGGGCGGAGCGCGGAGGGGGUUUCGCUUCGGGCUAAGGGACUGUAGUUGUGACAGCCAGGAAACCGAGAACGGAAUGCCAAUACUGCUUAGGCUUAGAGUUUGAAAGGCAUCUGAUUUCACUGCCAUGUCUUUGAACAGCAGUGCACAGUGCAGUCUUCUUCGUGGCUGAACAGCCACUCGAUGUCUUUUGAUUGGAGAGUUUAAUCAAACAGAAGGAGUCUUCCAUUGUGGCCACCACAGCUGGGAAUGAGCUAAGGUCUUGCUAUGUUGCCUAGACUGGUUUUGAACUCCUGGGCUGAAGCAAUCCUCCCACUUCGGCCUCUCAAAGUGCUGGGAUAUCAGACAUGAGCCACCUGCCAUGCUUGGCCUAUAAUCAUGAAAAGAUCAACCCCAAGAAAGAAAAGGAAACAUGGAAGGACCUGGACUGGAGUCACGCCAGUACAAGGAGGAUACUGGCAAAGAUGAGCAGAGCUGAAUAAUUGUAUUGGAGAAUGUGUGGCCCACAAAGCUUGACUAUCUGGCCCUAUACAGAAGAAGUUUGCUGAUCUCUGACUUAGCUGCCUAGGAAUAGCCAGGCAACCAGCUGCUACUUUGAGCACCCGGCUAAAAUAAGCAGAGACAACUGGAAGGCUUGAUGUGAAAAAGAGCUGUUGAAGUGUACACAAGCAAGCUGACUGCCUUAUGACUAAUACUUGACAGAACCCAGCAAGAGGAUAUGAGAUUGCAGAUGGAUGACCUCAAUCCUGAACAGAAAGGCGUGCAUGAUAAUGGAGAGAAAAAAGCCAAUGGGGAAAAAAAACCCACCACUAUUUUUUUAAUAGCCUAACACACACACAAAAAACUGGUUUUCCUUUUUCUGUAAUGUGUCUGUAGAGCUGGCUAUUCUGAUUAAAGUUGCCCUUGAAAAAGCAAUUAACUUAAGAGUCUUACUGGAAGUUAAAAAUCCCAAGGGGCAGGAAAAAUGAGUGUAUGGGAAGCCCAGUCAACAGGUCAGAAGGUACAGCUGGGAGGUUUUAGCAUUACGUACCGUGUGUUUUUCGUUUAAGGGAGAAGCUUAUUUGCUCACUGCUAUAGUUUGGA